UACUUUUUUAUGCCCAGAUUUCAAGAUACCCCAAGGACCACCAGGGAGCCGAGUCCGAUGCAAAAGCAAAAGUGCUUUUAUUCAAACUCGAGCCUGGCUCCCCUACACUCCUU